GACGAACGCUGGCGGCGUGCCUAAUACAUGCAAGUCGAGCGAAUGACGAGAAGCUUGCUUCUCUGAUUUAGCGGCGGACGGGUGAGAAACACGUGGGCAACCUGCCCUACAGAUCGGGAUAACUCAGGGAAACCUGGGCUAAUACCGGAUAAUCCUUCGAAUCACAUGUUUUGAAGUUGAAAGGCGCUUCGGCGUCACUGUAGGAUGGGCCCGCGGUGCAUUAGCUAGUUGGUGGGGUAACGGCCUAUCAAGGCAACGAUGCAUAGCCGACCUGAGAGGGUGAUCGGCCACAUUGGGACUGAGACACGGCCCAAACUCCUACGGGAGGCAGCAGUAGGGAAUCUUCCACAAUGGACGAAAGUCUGAUGGAGCAACGCCGCGUGAGUGACGAAGGUUUUCGGAUCGUAAAACUCUGUUGUAAGGGAAGAACAAGUACGUUAGGAAAUGAACGUACCUUGACGGUACCUUAUUAGAAAGCCACGGCUAACUACGUGCCAGCCGCCGCGGUAA
rnacentral:rRNA from 1 species